AGUAACACGUGGCCAAACUACCCUGUGGAUGGGAACAAUCUCGGGAAACUGAGGCUAAUUCCCAAUAACGCUCCACCCCUGGAACGGGCGGAGCUGGAAACGCUACGGCGCCACAGGAUGUGGCUGCGGUCGAUUAGGUAGACGGUGGGGUAACGGCCCACCGUGCCAAUAAUCGGUACGGGUUGUGAGAGCAAGAGCCCGGAGACGGAAUCUGAGACAAGAUUCCGGGCCCUACGGGGCGCAGCAGGCGCGAAACCUUUACACUGUACGCAAGUGCGAUAAGGGGACUCCGAGUGUGAAGGCAUAGAGCCUUCACUUUUGUACACCGUAAGGUGGUGUACGAAUAAGGGCUGGGCAAGACCGGUGCCAGCCGCCGCGGUAAUACCGGCAGCCCGAGUGAUGGCCGAUAUUAUUGGGCCUAAAGCGUCCGUAGCUGGCCGGACAAGUCCGUUGGGAAAUCUGUUCGCUUAACGAGCAGGCGUCCAGCGGAAACUGUUCGGCUUGGGACCGGAAGACCUGAGGGGUACGUCCGGGGUAGGAGUGAAAUCCUGUAAUCCUGGACGGACCACCGGUGGCGAAAGCGCCUCAGGAGGACGGAUCCGACAGUGAGGGACGAAAGCUAGGGUCUCGAACCGGAUUAGAUACCCGGGUAGUCCUAGCUGUAAACGAUGCCCGCUAGGUGUGGCGCAGGCUACGAGCCUGCGCUGUGCCGUA
rnacentral:rRNA from 1 species